rnacentral:lncRNA from 1 species
CCAUAGGUAGAGAUGCUUCUGUAAUUACAUGCAACGCACAUCCUGCUCCUGUAAAUUCCAAUUAGCAAAAGCAAAGAGGCAGUUUGAUGGUCAGAAAGCACAUGGGCAGCACCACGCAGGUGGCUGACACUGGGAUUGGAAGCAGCCUGGUGCUGUUAGGAUAACCCAUGGCCUGUGCUCUGCUGAGGGAGCCUAUUUAUAACCUGCUGCAGGACUCUCCUUCAGUAGAGCCUGUUGAUCCCCUGGUACAGCAAGACAGGAACAAUACUGUGAUAGCGUGGGGAAUGUGCCCCUGUCAGGACAAGAAUUUUUCUUUGUUUUAUGAGCAUCAUUUAUGACCCUGACCUUCAAUGCAGGGAAAAGUAUCAAUUUUAUGGUAGUGGUGAAUGCUUUUGGGAAGUAGUAAGAGGCCAAUCAAGGUCUCAGCAGAUGUUUCCACUGUGGUAGAAUAGAAGGGUUGCUACUAGCAGAAUCACUGAUUUUUAUGUGAACCCUUCUCAGCUGCUGAUAAAGAAGGGGAGACAAGGCAAACAUGAGAAAAUUUCAACUAGAUGAUGAAGAAAAAUGAUAGCACUCCAAUGCUGUAAAAGUAAAGAGGCUUUUAACAAUUUCAGAAUGGAAAGAGAAGGGAAUCCUAAAGAGAUGUUAGAGAUGAUCAAUUCAGACUUCUCACCAUUUGCCUGUCAUCCAUCUGUCCUGGUCCCCAGAGCGUGCUGUUUCUUAUUGAUGGAAAUUAUAAGUAAGGAUGCAAUGAGAUGGUGUAGAGACAUGAUGUUACUGAUGUAUAAUGAACACAGAAGAUGA